rnacentral:rRNA from 1 species
AAGACCUCGCGCUAUUAGAGCGGCCGAUGCCCGAUUAGCUAGUUGGUGAGGUAAUGGCCCACCAAGGCAACGAUCGGUAGCUGGUCUGAGAGGAUGAUCAGCCACACUGGGACUGAGACACGGCCCAGACUCCUACGGGAGGCAGCAGUGGGGAAUUUUGGACAAUGGGCGAAAGCCUGAUCCAGCCAUGCCGCGUGAGUGAAGAAGGCCUUCGGGUUGUAAAGCUCUUUCAGCCGGAACGAAAUCGUCCGGGCUAAUACUCCGGAUGGAUGACGGUACUGGACGAAGAAGCACCGGCUAACUACGUGCCAGCAGCCGCGGUAAUACGUAGGGUGCAGGCGUUAAUCGGAAUUACUGGGCGUAAAGCGUGCGCAGGCGGCUUUUCAAGUCAGAUGUGAAAUCCCCGGGCUUAACCUGGGAACU